GACGAACGCUGGCGGCGUGCCUAAUACAUGCAAGUAGAACGCUGAAGGAGGAGCUUGCUUCUCUGGAUGAGUUGCGAACGGGUGAGUAACGCGUAGGUAACCUGCCUGGUAGCGGGGGAUAACUAUUGGAAACGAUAGCUAAUACCGCAUAAGAGUAGAUGUCGCAUGACAUUUGCUUAAAAGGUGCAAUUGCAUCACUACCAGAUGGACCUGCGUUGUAUUAGCUAGUUGGUGAGGUAACGGCUCACCAAGGCGACGAUACAUAGCCGACCUGAGAGGGUGAUCGGCCACACUGGGACUGAGACACGGCCCAGACUCCUACGGGAGGCAGCAGUAGGGAAUCUUCGGCAAUGGACGGAAGUCUGACCGAGCAACGCCGCGUGAGUGAAGAAGGUUUUCGGAUCGUAAAGCUCUGUUGUAAGAGAAGAACGAGUGUGAGAGUGGAAAGUUCACACUGGACG
rnacentral:rRNA from 1 species